GUUAAAAUAAAAAAAAUACAUUACAUCUGGUGGAUUUGCGGAGAAUUCCUGCCAAAGAGCGUGUUCAUCUUAACUCGUUCCAUCAUAGAGUUCUGGUCGAGAGAGAGAGAAAAAAGGGCGAGUCGCGUGAGAGAGAGAGCUCCGGCGUCCGGCCGCGCGCGAGAGCGCGUGUCGGCGCCGGUGGCUCUCUUUCUCUUUGUUUCGUUGUUCGCGUAAGAAGAAGUGUCUCGUGGUGCCGUCAAUCGCCGAUAUAUCGACGGAUCUGAAUGAGGGUUUUGACCCGGGAAGCUCUUCGGCUUGGAUCGAGACUUUCAACGGUGACAUCUCGCCUCCUCUUGGAUACGUGGUGAGGAGUAUUGAUGACGGCUCGCGGUGAGAAUAAAGUUGCGGGAGGUGGAGGCUUAGAAAGCUCUACCUUCGCCGUUCAAGUUUCCGAGGGGCGGAGGCUUCUCUAGUUCUGCGCCAUCGUCAAGUUGCUGGGAGGCAGAGGGUUCUUCGCCUUGCGUCGCCGGUCUCUGUGGUCCUAGACUUUUAGGUUUUUUCAUCUUUCUCGGUUUUUUUCUUGCGGCUUUUGGUUUGAGUGUUCGAAGGAGACCCCGUCGGGGACGGUGGAAGCUUUCCAGUGGUUUGUGAUCUUGGAGUUUGAAUCUCUCUCGGGGAUGGUGGUUAAGGAGGAUCUCGGAUGAGACCUAGUCUAUUCGAUUGUCUCUUUACGAAAUUGAGACCCGUAGAGUGGUUAGUUGGUCAAGGGUGAAAGUUAGGCGGAGCAACGGAGCUCCGAUGUGGUCCGGUGAUCCGUGUGUCGGAUCUCCGGUUUGGUGGUACAACGGUGGUGCCGAGUUGAUCUUGCGACACGUCCCCUUCGAUGUCGAGGAUGGUGACACGUGUCCUAAUGCUUCAAAGACUCGAUUUGCAAGACGGCGUCGGUGCUUUCUGUGUGUUUAGCUUGAGAAGCUAGGGUUUACUCAUUUUGGGCUUUAGGCCCAAUUGAGAUUUGAGUUUGUGAUCCGGUCUGUUUAUGGGCUUUGUAAUUUGUACUGGGCUGCGGCCCUUUUUUAUAUAAAAUUUCUUUGAUGGAA